AUACAGAGGGUGCAAGCGUUAAUCGGAUUUACUGGGCGUAAAGCGCGCGUAGGUGGCUAAUUAAGUCAAAUGUGAAAUCCCCGAGCUUAACUUGGGAAUUGCAUUCGAUACUGGUUAGCUAGAGUAUGGGAGAGGAUGGUAGAAUUCCAGGUGUAGCGGUGAAAUGCGUAGAGAUCUGGAGGAAUACCGAUGGCGAAGGCCGCCAUCUGGCCUAAUACUGACACUGAGGUGCGAAAGCAUGGGGAGCAAACAGGAUUAGAUACCCUGGUAGUCCAUGCCGUAAACGAUGUCUACUAGCCGUGGGGGCCCUUGAGGCUUUAGUGGCGCAGCUAACGCGAUAAGUAGACCGCCUGGGGAGUACGGUCGCAAGACUAAAACUCAAAUGAAUUGACGGGG
rnacentral:rRNA from 1 species